AACGAACGCUGGCGGCAUGCCUAACACAUGCAAGUCGAACGAGACCUUCGGGUCUAGUGGCGCACGGGUGCGUAACGCGUGGGAACCUGCCCUUAGGUUCGCAAUCACUCCCCGAAAGGGGGCCUAAUAUCGGCUAAUGUCUUCGGAGCAAACGUUUAUCGACCUUGGAUGGGCCCGCGUUGGAUCAGACGGUUGGUAGGGUAAAAGCUUACCAAGGCGACGUUCCAUAGAUUGUCUGAGAGAAAGGUCAGCCACACUGGGACUGAGACGCGGCGCGGACUCCUACGCAAGGGAGCAAAGCGGGAUAUUGGCCAGUUGUGGGAAGGCUGAACCCGUCACGGCUGGUGAGUGGUGAAGGACGUAGGGUUGUACAGCUCUUUAACCCGGGAUGAUAAUGACGGUACCGGAAGAAUAAGCUCCGGCUAACUCCGUG
rnacentral:rRNA from 1 species